rnacentral:rRNA from 1 species
CCAGACUCCUACGGGAGGCAGCAGUGGGGAAUAUUGCACAAUGGGGGAAACCCUGAUGCAGCAACGCCGCGUGAAGGAAGACGGUUUUCGGAUUGUAAACUUCUAUCAAUAGGGAAGAAAGAAAUGACGGUACCUAAAUAAGAAGCCCCGGCUAACUACGUGCCAGCAGCCGCGGUAAUACGUAGGGGGCAAGCGUUAUCCGGAUUUACUGGGUGUAAAGGGAGCGUAGACGGAGAAGCAAGUCUGAAGUGAAAGCCCGUGGCUUAACCACGGGACUGCUUUGGAAACUGUUUGACUAGAGUGCUGGAGAGGUAAGUGGAAUUCCUAGUGUAGCGGUGAAAUGCGUAGAUAUUAGGAGGAACACCAGUGGCGAAGGCGGCUUACUGGACAGUAACUGACGUUGAGGCUCGAAAGCGUGGGGAGCAAACAGGAUUAGAUACCCCGGUA